UGCUGUGAGCACGAGUUUAUUGGGGUGUGAGGGAACCAGGUCAGUACAAAACCACAGCUGAACUUUACAAAUUAACAGGUUUCAGGUUUUGACAUCAGGAAAAUACUAUUUUAUUUUCAGCAGUGUUUCAGUUCUUCCCUGAAUUAGCGAUGUGUAUUGCUCAGUGAGAGAAGUCUCCUUCUGCUCAGGAGACCUUUGAAAUUAUUUCAGACCAUGAUCUUGGUGACUCAGAACAAGCCAGCCCUGAAAACAACAGUUAAAUGCCAGGGUUUAUUUUCUAAUGUCUGUUACUGACACACGAUCAGUGGAAGCAAACCCACGCCAGGAGGCAGCAACUGCAGUCGGGCAGACCCUGAGUUUCUUUUGGAUUUGUUUCAUUUUUACAAUACCAGGUUCUAGCUCUGAGGUGUCAUCACCCCUGGAAACCCACGAGCCUGAAAUGCAGUUCCUAUUGAAAGCACAGUGCCAGGAGUGCCACAAAGUGCUGGGAGGAUGCUGCCCGCCAACACCUGCAGAUCUGCUUGUUCUAACUAGCGAGGCCACAGGGUGCAGACCGGGGCCCGGCUGCGGUGACAAGGGGUGGACACCCAGGAGGUCGCUGCGGUGAGUCAUGGCCUUUGCUCUUCAAGGGAAUUGGGUUGUGUCUGUUCCUCUGGUUCCAGCCGCCAUCGCAAAUGGUGCCGCGGCUGAGGAAUCGCUGCUGUCUGCUGCGGGUCAGAGGCUGCGCCCAGCAGGGCAGCAGCGCUGGUGGGUGCCCGGGACACUGCCACUGCAGUGACCAGACACCUCCCAUGGGCGAUGGGCACCAAGGACAGCUGCUGCUCCACUGCGCAGCACUGGGCUUGAUGGGCUGGGGCGGCUGCACACACGAGGUACUGACCUGUCUGACCCUGAACAAGGUACCGCAAUUAAACUGGUUUUAAUGGAGGUGCUGCCACUAUGCGAGACUGGUGGCACCCUCCUGGCUCUCCGCUAAAUGAUCUCUGUGAUGAUGGUAACUAAUUCCUAGCUAUAGGCACAGAACGGGUGCUGGAUGAGCAGACGACAGCGGGGAAGCAGAGGUGGAGCAGGGGCUGGGCAGCAUCCCCAUCCUUCACCUGCUGUCCAGGGGAGAGGAGUGGUUGUUGGGUGGCCACACAUGUGAAAACCCCUCUGAGGACACAAUUCCCUGACACAGGACGAGGUGCUGGCCAGGAUGACCAAAGCAAUGCUCUGAAGCUACAUUAAAUAACAGGUGUCGGUGCUGGUUUGUGUCCUCUGGCUGCGACACCAGCUCUUGUGCACUGGUGCUGGGGAGGAGAUGUGCUGUUGUUGGGCUGAUGCUGCUCCAGUGGUGGGAGCACCCAGUCACCUUCCUCUGCUCUGUGAUGGAAACGAUGGAGUAAAACAUGAUGGUAACAGAGGCGACGUCUGGUCAUCAGCUGCGUCUGCCGAGCACCAGAGCUGCAGGUUUAGAGAGCAGAGCCCUCGCGUCCCCUCCAUCCGAACCCGCACGUCUGUGGAGCAGCAGCUCACGUGUCCAUGUGGAGGUCCUGGAGCCCCGCAGCGCUGCAGCCGGGGGCCCGGCCGAGCACGCUGCACGAGUGCCGCAGCCGCCCGGGCACCUGGGUCCUGCGCGCGGCAGUGAGGGCGAGCGCCGCUCCGCCACCCCCAGGGACACCGCGAGGUUGGCGCUUGCGCUGGUUCUGAGGCAGCCUGGAACACAGGACAGCAGAGAGCAUCCGUGAGGGGAGGCAGAGAACUGCGUGGCAAAGGCAGCCCCUGCCCGCUCCUCCGAACCAGCCGUGGGGAGAGCUGGACAGUUGCAAACAGAAGCUGGGCUGGGGCAGCCUGGAGAAGAGAAGGCUCCUGAAGGGGAGACCUUAGAGCAGCUCCAUCUUCCUACCAGCUGAACUCACACAGCCCUUUCC
rnacentral:lncRNA from 1 species